CUGCAUUGCUGAUAGUGACCAACUGUCUCAGAUCUCUCUCCACACCCUUCCAAUGUCCCAGAUGGUCUUUGCAUGGUAAAAUCUCACCAGAUUAAACCUUGCACAUUACAACCAGUCUUAAAGAUGUGGGGUUCUGUGCUAUGUACACUGGAGCCAAACCACCCAAGUGUCAAUUGCCUGUUGUUCCAUCUCUUCAGCUUCUUCGGUGGUCUGCUGCUGUAUGAGGAGCAGUGAGAAAAAAAAACCACUGCUGACAGUGGGUAAUGAUGAAGUCUCUUGGCUCUCUCCCAAACAUCUCCUGGCAACAGAGUCAACCAAAUUAAUUUUGUCCAAGAAAAGAUCUACUAUGGAACUUUUGAUAAGAAACUGGUCAGCCAUUCUGAGAGUGGUGGAAAGCCUGUCAAGGUCACUGCCAAGGACAAGAGAGUCAAUUAGUAUGCAGAUCAGAGCCAAGGAGUUCAAAGGUGUGAUGGCAGAUUAAAUCCAUGACAGGAAACAGUGAUAAUGCCCACUGUAGAGCCGUGUGGUGUAAAGGUCCCUAAGAAUGGUACAGCUGAAAUGGGAGGAUGAAGAAAUGUAUUGGCUAUGACAAGAAGAAGUAAUUGCUUUUCCUCAAAGGAUCAGAUGUGGUAUAGUUGUUUGAAAAACAAUCUAAACAACAUUUUGUUCACCAUUGAUUUUAAAAGCAUUAAAAUUAGUUUUUAUGCAGCUAUACUCAUUAAGCUUUUAUGUAUACUGUGUAGGGUGAAUAGUUAAGAAGCAAUAAAGCAUUCUGCAGUAAAAUAUACUUUGCCAGUUGUCAGAAGAAAUAAAAUACAUAGAUUGGGAAUGUUUGUUUCCUGUGGAAUAUUGCGAUAUUUGCCGUGUUAAUUACAAUCCAAAUAAAGCUAUUUUAUUUGUGUAUUUUAAACAGCCCUGUAGCUGUAGAUGGCUAAUACAACUGUUAUUGAAAGUGUUGUGUUUGGGGGUAGUGUGUUCAUACUGAUGAGAAACAAUCAUCAGCUACAUAUAUCCCAACAAUUCUUGCAUUCUAAAAAUAAAUCUUCUCUUAGAAUUGGUGUUCCAAAGUCUAAUUGUAAAUUUUAGCCUCAAAAACCAAACGAAAGUGUCAUGCUGUGCAAUUUUCUUCUCUUUAGUUCCUCAUGUCAGUAUCUGCAUUCAUACACAAACUAGUUCCCCUAAUUUCACUGAAGUAGUUAACAAUUUAUUAGAAAAGGAAAUAGUCUGGAAAACAGCAACAGUCUAGUGCCCAAGGAAAGGAAACCUAUUUGGUUAUUACUUGGAAGAGCAUAACCAUUUAUUUUGUUUCUCAAAAAUGAAGAGAGGAGUAUGUGUACACUACAACAACAUGCCAUCAGAGAGAAUAAUGCAUAUAAAAAUGAAUUCCUGUUAUUGUGUUCAGGUGUGUUUGUGAAUAAAAAAUGGAAUUUUGAAAAGUCAAUUAAAAUGCAUUUAAAUUCUUUAACACCGGAAUUCUUUAAUGUGAAAAAUUUUUCUAGACAGUUUGUCAGUAUCGCUGUAAGCACUGUGCUGUGAUCAGAACUGGUUUCCCCCACCUAUGACUGUUAGAUGGCUCAGAAAUGCAUUACACCUUCCUGUUUCAAAUGAGGAGACCACUCUUGAAAACAUGGAAGUACUUAUAAAGUAAAUAACCUUUAAUUAAAUAUCAUUGUCUAGCAUUAAUCUUUAUAGCUCUGUUCCCUAUGGAAAUAAAAGUGGAUAUUCAAUUUGUUUUGAUUAUGCAUGAAUUUUAACAGAAAUGUUGUUUCUAUAUUGCUGUGUUCUUCAAGAAAGCAGCAUAUUUGUGUCGGCAUAAGCCAUUAAGAAGACAGUUCCUCAUUAAUGUGAAA